rnacentral:misc_RNA from 1 species
GAUGAAGAACGCAGCGAAAUGCGAUACUUGGUGUGAAUUGCAGAAUCCCGUGAACCAUCGAGUCUUUGAACGCAAGUUGCGCCCGAAGCCUCGGCUAAGGGCACGUCUGCCUGGGCGUCACGCAUCGCGUCUCCCCCAAACCGCCAAGGCGGAGGGGAAGGAAGAUGGCUUCCCGUGCCUCACCCGGGCGCGGUUGGCCUAAAUUUGGAGCCCGCGGCACUUAGCUCUCGCGGCGAUAGGUGGUGAACAAGGCCUUGGCCGUGCAAACAACCCGCUGCGAAGCUCUAUGUCACGUGCGCUCGUCGGACCCUUUGAAGUUGCCUUUGGUGACUUAAAACCUUUGCGACCCCAGGUCAGGCGGGGCUACCCGCUGAAUUUAAGCAUAUCAAUAAGCGGGGA